GCCUUAUCUCUGCUAAUCUUUCUUCUUAUCUAAUCCUUGAUCUCUGGUCUAUCAGAAUUCAAACAUGUCAAUCUAUGAAUUUCAUAGACCUACGGGCACACAUCUCGAACCACCAAAAUCUUCAAAGCCUAUCAUAGCAUCUAGUUUUGAGAUAGACCCCAAAUACAUAGAAUUUGUUCAAAAACAACCUUUCUCAGGAGAAGGUGAGGAAAACCCAUACACACACCUA
rnacentral:lncRNA from 1 species